rnacentral:lncRNA from 1 species
UCCAAGCCAAUAGCUCAUCUCUAGCCAAGCCUGCCAUAACCCAGUUAAUACCCAGAAUUCCAUACCCCACAACUUAUACACCACCGGCCACGAAAGAAGCACAUGGUUACAAGUCUAAUCGGCUUUUUUACACAGAUAGCAAGCGUUCACCAUAAUCUUGUUCUGUCUCAUUAAUUUAUUUGUAGUCAAAAUACACCAGUCU